UAAAGAUCAACAUCUGUCCCAAGUGGAGAGGAGGUUUAACACCAGACUUAAAAUUGUGCAGGAAAAACUGAGAAAAUCUGAGGAAGAAACAAAGAGAUUAAAAGAAGAUCGAAAUAUAGAAGUGUCUACUCUGAAAAAGGCCGGGGAGGAGAAAGUGAAAGAAUUGCUGAAAACAAUUAAUACCAUGAAGGAGGAGGAAACUAGAGUUAAAACCAACAUGGUA